AAGACUAUACUUUCAAGGAUCAUUUCUAUAGUUUGUUACUAGAGGAGGUUCUCUGGUGUAGGGCACUGGAAGCCACGAGGAGGAGUGUUUUCUCCUGAGCGUGAAUUUGGCACUUGAUGUUGUUUUGCUACAAUGACCAUUAGCAAUUGAUGAUUGUUCUCUUUCUUUUGGGAAAGUAAGAGGGAUAGAAUGCUGUCUGAGUGG
rnacentral:snoRNA from 1 species